rnacentral:rRNA from 1 species
GAUGAACGCUGGCGGCGUGCCUAAUACAUGCAAGUCGAGCGAACAGACGAGGAGCUUGCUCCUCUGACGUUAGCGGCGGACGGGUGAGUAACACGUGGAUAACCUACCUAUAAGACUGGGAUAACUUCGGGAAACCGGAGCUAAUACCGGAUAAUAUAUUGAACCGCAUGGUUCAAUAGUGAAAGACGGUUUUGCUGUCACUUAUAGAUGGAUCCGCGCCGCAUUAGCUAGUUGGUAAGGUAACGGCUUACCAAGGCAACGAUGCGUAGCCGACCUGAGAGGAGGAUCGGCCACACGGGGACUGAGACACGGUCCAGACUCCUACGGGAGGCAGCAGUGGGGAAUCUUCGACAAUGGGCGAAAGCCUGACAGAGCAACGCCGCGUGAAGGAAGAAGGUCUUCGGAUCGUAAAACUCUGUUAUUAGGAAAGAACAAAUGUGUAAUGAACUAUGCCGGUCUUGACGGUACCGUAACAGAAAGCCACGGCUAACUACGUG